rnacentral:rRNA from 1 species
UACGUAGGUGGCGAGCGUUGUCCGGAUUUACUGGGCGUAAAGGGCGUGCAGGCGGUUUGUUAAGUGCAGGGUGAAAGCUCCCGGCUCAACUGGGAGAGGUCCUUGCAUACUGGCGAACUCGAGGGAGGCAGAGGAAAGUGGAAUUCCCGGUGUAGUGGUGAUAUGCGUAGAUAUCGGGAGGAACACCUGUGGUGAAGGCGGCUUUCUGGGCCUUACCUGACGCUGAGACGCGAAAGCGUGGGGAGCGAACCGG